rnacentral:rRNA from 1 species
CAAUAGCGUAUAUUUAAGUUGUUGCAGUUAAAAAGCUCGUAGUUGGAUUUCGGUUAAGAGCGACCGGUCCGCCGUUUGGUGUGCACUGGUUGGUUUUAACUUCCUGUAGAGGACGUGCUCUGGGUUUAACGACCUGGACUCGGAGUCUACGUGGUUACUUUGAAAAAAUUAGAGUGUUCAAAGCGGGCUUACGCUUGAAUAUUUCAGCAUGGAAUAACACUAUAGGACUCCUGUCCUAUUUCGUUGGUCUCGGGACGGGAGUAAUGAUUAAGAGGAACAGUUGGGGUCAUUCGUAUUUCAUUGUCAGAGGUGAAAUUCUUGGAUUUAUGAAAGACGAACUUCUGCGAAAGCAUUUGCCAAGGAUGUUUUCAUUAA